UUUAGAGAUAGCAUCUAUGGCAGAAUUGAAACAUUGCUUUUCCUAAUAUCAUGUUUUGCUGCUAGGUUUGUGGAGACCAAAGCCAAGGAGCAGUUUUCCUACGUGAAUUUACACUGAUUCGGAGAGAAAGUCUACAUGAUGAUUUCCUGUCUGAUUUGCUGAAUAACCACAGAACAGAAGAUCCGCCAAUCAAGACACCACUGCUCAGAAAAGAAAAAAAGAUUGCAUUCCAGUGCUUGGAAUCCCACAGCUGCCAAAAGCUGUCCUGUGACUGCAUCUAGUGCUGGAGCUGAUGCAGGAUGAAAGGCAGCUGUUUUUAGAAAGUCUGAGUUAUUAGUCUUGCCCACAUUAGCAUAAUGAAAAAUUGAAAAAUAAUGAAGCCAUUGUUUGUAUAAUGAUAUAGAACACUAUUUGGACUACUACACUGCUUAAGUGGACCUUAAAUUUAUUCAUAAUUGUUCCCAGCACCUAUUCACAACAACUGAAAAAUUCCAUAGCUUCCAUCAAAUCAAGAAGCUUUCAAGGCUGCUUCAUUGAAGCACUGGUAGCUUUUUCAUGAUACUGCUUCCACUCUAAAGAAUUCAAGUAAAUAGUCACAUAUUUUGCACUAAUACAACAAGGGGAUGCUCUUUGUGUCCGCAUGUCCUAUUUCUGUACUUAUUAAUGCCUAUCUUUAGGAAUGGUAAAUUGUAACUGUAGCAUAAAUAGUUCUUGAAGAAAAUUAGUUAAUAAUAGAUACUACAGUCAAAAUGUGUAUAGUUGUAACUUUUUAAACUAGAUAUUCAACAUAAAAAUGAACAGUCC
rnacentral:lncRNA from 1 species